rnacentral:pre_miRNA from 1 species
CAACUACUCCCUCUGUCCCAAAUUUCUUGUCUUAGAUUUGUCUAGAUAUAGAUGUAUCUAAUACUAAAAUGUGACUUGAUACAUCCGUAUCUAGACAAAUCUAAGACAAGAAUUUUGGGACGGAGGGAGUACUUU